UAAGCAUAUCAAUAAGCGGAGGAAAGAACCAACAGGGAUUGCNUCAGUAACGGCGAGUGAAGCGGCAAUAGCUCAAAUUUGAAAUCUGGCCUCUUCGGGGUCCGAGUUGUAAUUUGUAGAGAGUGCUUCGGGCGAGACCACGGUCUAAGUCCAUUGGAACAUGGUGUCAUAGAGGGUGAGAAUCCCGUAUGUGACCGUGGAUCAAACCCAUGUGAAGCCUCUUCGACGAGUCGAGUUGUUUGGGAAUGCAGCUCAAAAUGGGUGGUAAAUUUCAUCUAAAGCUAAAUAUUGGCUGGAGACCGAUAGCGCACAAGUAGAGUGAUCGAAAGAUGAAAAGCACUUUGGAAAGAGAGUUAAACAGUACGUGAAAUUGUUGAAAGGGAAGCGCUUGCAACCAGACCUGCCCGUAGGCGAUCAACCGCUGUUUUCAGCGGUGCACUCGCUCUGCGAUCAGGCCAGCAUCGGUUUCGGCGGUCGGAUAAAGGCCUUGGGAAUGUAGCUUCCCUUCGGGGGAGUCUUAUAGCCCUCGGUGCAAUGCGGCCAGCCGGGACCGAGGACCGCGCUUCGGCUAGGAUGCUGGCGUAAUGGUUGUCAGCGACCCGUCUUGAAACACGGACCAAGGAGUCUAACAUCUAUGCGAGUGUUUGGGUGUCAAACCCAUGCGCGGAAUGAAAGUGAACGGAGGUGAGAACCCUUAAGGGCGCAUCAUCGACCGAUCCAGAUGUCUUCGGAUGGAUUUGAGUAUGAGCAUAGCUGUUGGGACCCGAAAGAUGGUGAACUAUGCCUGAAUAGGGUGAAGCCAGAGGAAACUCUGGUGGAGGCU
rnacentral:rRNA from 1 species